UCUUACAUAAGAGAGUCUUUCUGCCAAGUAAUUACCUCAGUUGGUCUUUAUGUUGUAGGUGAAUGUUUGUACAGAGAUUUCCACUCCUCAUGAAACAAAGAGCUACUGGAGAGUUCACAUGCCCAGUAUAUGGCACAAACAGGACCAAAGCAGUCUUGUGCUUGGUGAAACUGAAGAAAAACCUCUCCAAAAAAAGUACAGAGAAAAGGAAAUCAGAUGCUGAACUCUAAUCCUGUCUCCUGUGGAGUCCUUCUCACUACUGCUGUUUCCAGCAAAACCAAAGAUAUCUUGACACCUUGCAGAAGCUUGGGAACACCUGGCUGGCUCUCAAGGUGCUCUAUUUCCUACUUUGUAGAUGCAAAGCUGGCAUCUUGACAGCAGGAAAGCAUGAACUUGAUGCCAUGCCCUGAGAUUACAAACAAUGGAACUGGAGAAAGCAACAUUCUGAAGAGAAAUUCCAAGUCACUGUUUCCUCAUAAGGGUUAAAUUAGACCUAUAGCAGCAAUACCACCCUGAGACAUGCAUAGGCAGACACGGACAGAUACAUAGAGCAUUCAUGCUCAUUUCACUUAAAAUAAUGCAUAGGUUUUUUGGUGGUGGUGGUUUUGUUGUUUUUGUUUUUUUGCUUUACAGGAAUUCUCACAGACUUCGAGACGCGACAUUGAUGAGAGCAUGCUGUCUGUUGCCUAAACAAUUUCAAUUGAUUUUAUUAAGAAAAAGAAAUCUUGGAAUAGCAUCUGCUUUAAAAGACAAUAUCUCUCUUUCUUAUUCUGACAUAAUAAGUGCUGACAGAAAAGAGCACCAAAUGCAUCUUCUGUGAGACGUCUCAAGUAUCUGACAACUGCAUUCAGUGCUGCAUCUGGGCUGGAAUUUUCAAGAGUGCAAAGGCGCAGGUAGUCAAAUUCCAAGAGAGUUGGGGACUUUGUUCUGGAGGUGUUUUGAAGCUUAGACUUACUCCUUGCUCCAAGAAAUAUUCUUUGCUGCAUGGUAAGCCUCACUGAACAAACAAGUAAUGUUGUCACCCAGGCCAAGAGUACUCCAAAGUAUAGUGGAUCAAAUACAGGAUGACAUGCACAAGAUAGCCUUGCUAAAUAAGUUUAUGAAAUCCUUGCUCGUUUACUCAAAGAAGACAAUCAACAAAUGGUUUAAUGGAAACAAACCCUAUGGUGAGUGGUAUCAUGGCCAUGGAAAGAGACGUAUCAGUCCCAGGUGGUCUGAAAGGCCAAGUCAAAUGGAUGGAAAGAUGCCCAAAGCUAUUUUUGCUUCUUAGGAAGAAGUGUCACUGGUUCUUUUAGUAGCAAGAAGGCUGCAAGAACGUCAAGGAUGAGGCUUACUGUCUUUGAAGCUAACAAUGAGCAAACUGGCUAUAUGUCAACCUAUUGGGACAACUAGUAUAUUAGGAAUGAAUGUAUGUGCUCCCAGCAAAGGAAUAUCUAACAUCAUAAAAGAUAAAUGCUGUGCUGAUUGUGAUAUAGUCUUCAAGAAUUUUGCAAGGUGUGAUAUCAAAGUAGUGGUAGAUGGCUGUAGUGGCAAAGUAGAAAAGGAAGAUGUGGAAGACAGUGGAAGGGAUGUCUAUGUCUAUGACAUAACUAUUAACGAUGACAUGAGAUUAAUUAAUUUUGUAGCAGUUAAGGACACAGUUGAAUAGCAUGGAAACUUUCUUUAAAAUGUUAUUAGGCGUAUAUGUCUAUCUACAGAGGAGGUUUCUAGUAAUCAAAUUAUAUAUUUUGUCUCAGGGCAAAAACUGGAAGCCUAAGAAUCGAUCAUGGAAUGACACACAAACGUGAUAAGAAAAUUCAGUAGACCAGUUAUAGAUAAAACACAACAUGCCGGAGGUAUAUGAAAAACAGGCAGGAAAAGGUAGCAGUUAAAAAUAGACUUCAGAAGAAAUCAUGGCAGACUGAAUCAAAGAAGAUAAUUCAGAAGAAUUCCAAGUAUGAGAAACAAAGGAUUGUUUAACAGCGCAUGGGAAAGUAAUUGGAAACUGACAUGCAAAGUGAGAAUGCAACUUCCAAGCUGGUCUCAUGCUAAGUGUGAUAAAACCAAAAAAGGACCUGAAGUACUUAGGUCCAGUAGGACUAUGCAGAGUAAAAUGCAUAUAACAUAGGAGUAAUUUAUGAGAGCUACAACACACAUGGAGAAAAGAAGAUCAAUUCAGAGUGUGAAAAAGGACAAUGCAAGAAUGCAGUUCUGGACAGACGGAAGGAGUUCUUUAAUGACUUUCUUAGUACAGAUAGCUUCGCUGCUUCUAGAAGAGAAAAGUUUAAGAGGUUUAAGAGGUAGUUGGAAUUCUUGGAAACAACAAGGAAAAAGGUUGGAAAUGUUAGAACUGAAUUACUGAAAUCAGAGAUGAUGGAAAAGACUUUGUGGGAUCAUGGGAUAAGAUAGCUUAAAGACUAUUUAAAAUGACUUUGUUGGAUUGAAAAUAGUUUCUCCAGCAUUUUUUAUAAAGUGUUGGAAUAGAUUUUAAAAAGGAUCACAAAACUUCCUGCACAGUACAGUUUAUUAAUUCCUGUUUGUGACAUUUUAUACACCCAUCCGUUACACAAAGGAGAUAACAAAUGAAUAGCAAUGUGGUUUCUGGAAAAUAAGAGUGGGAGUAGACAGAAAGAUUGACUCCUUCUUGUCUCCUUAAGGUGUCCUGGGAGUCAUGGUACAAUUAUAAAAUUUGCAAGAGGGACUGAAAUUAGAUGAUUGUCAGAAGUCCUUCUGAUGUUAUUAGUGGAUUUAGUGACUGCAAAAGAAAGACAAGUUCUUUCACUGCUGUUUGAUGCUGGGCAAUCAAAAACAAGUGAAAUAGAAACAGUAAAUUGAAAUGGUGUUUUUAAUACACAUGAUCAUCUAUGCAAAAAUACGCCAUAAAAGGAGUUUGGGGCAAAUUGAAAGAAUCCAUGAAUAAUUAUGAUCUUUAAAACCAUUAAAGAAGGAAGGAAGCAAGUAUGUGGGAAUUAAAUGGACCACCAGCAGAGACUCAUGCUCUGCAGGCAUAGCCACAUGCAAUCAAAACCAGCCCUAUAACAGGCAAGUACAUUGCGAUUAUGGUCUGCCAAAUGGUGAGCAAGCCAAAUUGUAAGCCAUAUCACCAUUUACAUUGCUCUUGAGUUUAUUCAUCUAGAUCUUAAAAUAAACAGAAAUUGAGUCUCAUAUUCUAAGAAGUUCUACUUUGGUUUGAACGUAAGUGUAAAUAAAUUCCUUGAGUCCAAAAAGAUGUGGGGAAAGUUCAGCUGUUGAUGAUACAAGUGUGUUUGAGGUGAAUGUGAGAUGGAUUUUAGGUGCUCAUAAUGCAGUGUACCGCUGCUCUGGCCACAAUAUUGGAAGUAUUAAGAAAAAAAAAAUAGUUUAUUGCUCAUUUGAAACAUGCUGCAGAAGCUGCACAAGGAGCUAAUCUGCCCAGAAUUAUCAAGCAGGCUUGGAUUUCAGGAGAGACUUAAUUGCUAUUAUGAACAAAAUAUCUUUCCCACUUAUUUUCUGGAGACUACAUCUUAUUGUCUAAGUAUUUGCAAAUGCACAUAUUGCUGCCCUGAAAUACACUGCAGUGAAUUCCUUCAGUCUACUUUAUUUAAAACAUUGUCCCUGGAGCUGAAUAAUACCUUUGUAGCAAUUUGAGCUAUUACAGAAGUGCACAUUGGAAAUUGUAGUAAUCCUAAUACAAAAAGGCAACAAAGACACAUUCCUAAAUCAUGUCAAACAGCUGUUGUUUUGCUGUUGUUGUUUGUUUGUUUGUUUGUUUUGUGGUUUUGUUUGUUUUCCCUUGAAGAUCACGUUUAAGUUUUGGAUGUUCAUGCUUGAGUGUUCUUCUUGAUGUAUCUAAUGCAGGCAUAUGUAAGCUGUCCACUCAGGUGCUGUUAACCACAGUUGAUGAUGUAUUUUUGUAGGACCAUGAAGAAAGCAUUACCUCUGGACUUAGAAAUCUACAGUAGGGUUUUUCUUUCCUCUAAGUGAUUGUAUAACAGAAUUAUUUUUAACUAGUAGUUUGUCUUCUAUCUACAAUUGAAAAUAGAAAUAAAAAAUAUACUAGGGAUUUCUGGGAAGUCCGUGGCACAGAGAACAGAAAUUAUUUUACAAAUAUCUUCCAGAUUUGAAGACAGAGUACAGCAAAUGAGACCAAACAAGCUGACCUGAAUUUGAAGCUAAAUCUAUAUUUUAAGAAUACCAAAACAACCAGGGGUGAGUCACUGGGUAGGCAAAAGUAACCACAACGUUUGUGCACAGUCUAUACAGUGAGCUUGACAUGGUUUCCAAAACCUUUAAUUUCUGUUGGUUUAGAGGAACUAAACACAACCUUUAAACAAAAUGCUGUGCUUUUACAAAGUCUGUGCUUUGCAGAAAUGAGAAAUAUACUGAAAGCAUUAACCCUUCAGUGCUGUAAUCACAACAAAGGUUGAGCAUCUGUGAGACAUCAUCUAGACUGUUAUCUUGAAUAAAUCACUAAAAUUUGUGCAAAUUUUCUCACCUAAUGAGAAUAUAUAAUACCAACAUUGCAGGUACUUAUUAAAAUGAAUGAAUCCAUGUCAGUAAACAAAAAUUUCUGGCAUCAAAAUGCAAGCAGCUUAUCCAAAGCUCACUGAAUUCAAAGGGAGCUUUUCCGUGAAAGGGAUUUGAAUAAGUCCUUUAGUAGUAACACUUAAUCCUGAAGAGAACUGCUGCUAUUCUUAAAGAUGUAUUCUAUCAGUAUCAAUGUGAUAUCUGUUCAAAGGUAUUUAUUGCCUUCUGUGGAAGCACAAUGGUGAGAAAGCUAUCAUGCCCCUCCCCCCCCCCCCCCCCCCCAUCCCAACAUAUUUUCUGCACUACUUUGUGUAAAAUUAAGAAAACAAGAAACCUAGCAUACUACUCCCCUAAAAUAAAUAAAUAAAUAAUAUUUAUUUUAAGAAGGUUUUGCUAAACAUGGGAUCAUAAGAACAGAAGUUUGGGAUGAUUACAGCAAUGAAAAUUAAUAAAGUGUCAUAAAACUAUCUGGUUCCCUAAAACAUCAAAUGAAAUUCUCACCUAUUUGCUUGAGCUGUAAGUGCGCUAUCCUGUUUCUUCACAAGGAGUGUGAAAAUCUUUCACAGUUGUUACUUCAUUAGUGGAAAAUUUGUGUACUCUUUCCUCAUCAACUAAGCAAGAACUGGAACUUUUCAGCAUUUUUUCAUGGGAAUAUUCAGAACUUUUUCAGUAUAUUUUCAAUGCCAUGGGUGUAUCUUUUAAGAGCACUUAUAACUUCAUCUUUCUCUUGUGUGUGUUGAACUAGAAAUAGUUCCCCAGAGUUUCCUAUGCGUUUUGCUCACGGAAACUGCAUACACCAGGCAGGUGAUUCUGUAAACAGUGUAACAGGACAAUAGUGGGUUUUUCACCCUUUCUGUGAAGAACGAGUAAAGAAAGAAUUCAAGUCUCAUCUAGCAGGAAAAAAAAAAAAAAAA